GCGCCCAUAGCUCAACUGGACAGAGUACCUGACUACGGAUCAGGGGGUUGGGGGUUCGACUCCUCCUGGGCGCGCCA
rnacentral:tRNA from 1 species